CAGUAGCCGCGGGAAUACGUAGGGUCCGAGCGUUGUCCGGAAUUAUUGGGCGUAAAGGGCUCGUAGGCGGUUUGUUGCGUCGGGAGUGAAAACCAGGUGCUUAACACCUGGCCUGCUUUCGAUACAGGCAGUCUAGAGUGAGGAAGAGGGUUGUGGAAUUCCCAGUGUAGAGGUGAAAUUCGUAGAUAUUGGGAAGAACACCGGUGGCGAAGGCGGCAACCUGGUCCUUGACUGACGCUGAGGCGCGAAAGCGUGGGGAGCAAACAGGAUUAGAUACCCCCGUAGUCCCUGUCUCUUAUAC
rnacentral:rRNA from 1 species